UACGGAGGAUUCAAGCGUUAUCCGGAUUUACUGGGUGUAAAGGGAGCGUAGACGGCGAUGCAAGUCUGAAGUGAAAGGCGGGGGCUCAACCCCUGGACUGCUUUGGAAACUGUAUGGCUGGAGUGCAGGAGAGGUAAGUGGAAUUCCUAGUGUAGCGGUGAAAUGCAUAGAUAUCACGCAGAACUCCGAUUGCGAAGGCAGCUUACUAAGCCAUAACUGACACUGAAGCACGAAAGCGUGGGGAUCAAACAGG
rnacentral:rRNA from 1 species